rnacentral:rRNA from 1 species
CAGCCGCCGCGGUAAUACGUAGGUGGCGAGCGUUGUCCGGAAUUAUUGGGCGUAAAGGGAGCGCAGGCGGACAUAUAAGUCCAUCUUAAAAGUGCGGGGCUCAACCUCGUGAGGGGAUGGAAACUGUAUGCCUUGAGUGCAGGAGAGGAAAACGGAAUUCCCAGUGUAGCGGUGAAAUGCGUAGAUAUUGGGAGGAACACCAGUGGCGAAGGCGGCCUUCUGGACUGUAACUGACGCUGAGGCUCGAAAGCCAGGGGAGCGAACGGGAUUAGAUACCCGCGUAGUCCCUGUCUCUUAUACA